AGCAGUCGCCGCGGUAAUACGAAGGGGGCUAGCGUUGUUCGGAAUUACUGGGCGUAAAGCGAGUGUAGGUGGUUGUCCAAGUUGGAUGUGAAAGCCUUGAGCUCAACUCAAGAAAUGCAUUCAGGACUAGAUGACUAGAGGACCGGAGAGGAUAGUGGAAUUCCCAGUGUAGUGGUGAAAUACGUAGAGAUUGAGAAGAACACCAGUGGCGAAGGCGGCUAUCUGGACGGUUUCUGACACUAAGACUCGAAAGCGUGGGGAGCAAACAGGAUUAGAUACCCCCGUAGUCCCUGUCUCUUAUAA
rnacentral:rRNA from 1 species